UUGUCAGCUCGCAAGCUGUUUCAAUUAUGCCUCAAGAGCUUCUCAUGCCUUGGGCAUCGCAUGGUUCCUGUGUUGGAUACCCACUUAGUGGAAAUCAGUGCCCUCUGUGCAUUAUUCCACCUACCGCUCUCUUUUGGGAUGCGUGGUGGACGUGAAAGUGGCUCUCGUGUUCCAGCACACCCAGUGCAAUGCGGUGUGGCAUGGCCCAUGGGAAACUACUCGUAAUCUCGGAUGCGGAACAUUGAGCGGGUGCAGGGCGUGAUCCCUGAUUUACCCAAGCAAGGCUUUCGUUGCCUAGCAAGUACGACUGUUGUGGUUGUCUUGUCCCCUACCAAUUCGGUAGGGGUCAUACGACCCCGGCGUCGCAAAGGAAUGCUACC
rnacentral:misc_RNA from 1 species